ACUCAAAACCAUUGGGACUGAGCAAGGUUGGAUGGGAUCAGUUCCCUAAAAGAAACCCAUGGAGCUUUUACCGGAAGAAAAGGUGGAACAGAUAUAAGAGGUCUUCCUGGUGCCGAUCUGUGCUUGGAGGAGUGCCCUGACUCUGGCUCCCAGUGGUGUUGCUACACCAUGCAGCAUGUUGGAUUUUAGUCCCCUGACCAGGGAUCGAACCCACAUCCCUUGCAUUGGAAGAGCAGAAUCUUAACCACUGGACCACCAGGGAAGUCCCUCACCUUUGUGUUUAUUGCCUGCCUCCUAUUAGGAUGUGAAUUCUCUGACAAUAGGGAGUGUAUGUUUUUGUUCACUAUUGUCUCCCAGUAUCAAGUAUAACACCUGAAAGUGAAAGGGAAGUCACUCAGUCGUGUCCGACUCUUUGCGACCCCAUGGACUAUAGCCCACCAGGCUUUUCCAUUCAUGGGAUUUUCCAGGCAAGAGUACUGGAGUGGGUUGCCUUUUCCUUCUCCAGGGGAUCUUCCCGACCCAGGGAUCGAACCCCUGUCUCCCACAUUUGCAAGCAGAUGCUUUAGCCUCUGAGCCACCAGGGAAGCAUGGUGAAGCAUUGUUGUAAAUGCUGGUUCAAUAUUUGUUGAAUCCACAGUGGCAAAGAAAUGGUUUCCUUCAUGAAGAUAAUCAUUGUAAGAGCCAGACAAUAAACCACAAAAGAAUAAACAUAUAUAAUUACAAGUUGUGAUAGUGCUGUGAGGAAGCUAACAGGUACAGUGAUGGAGAAACCACUUUAAAUAGGCUGGUCAAAAGGGAUCUUGGGAAAGAAAUGAUGUUUAGGAUUAGAAGAAUGAGAUAGGGCCAGCCCUGCCAAGGGAGGAGAAGACCAUUCCAGAAGGAAAAAAAAAAAAAAACACACAUUCAAAGACCUUGAAGCGGAAAUGGGUUUGACAUCUUCAAAGUACUGAAAGGGGACCCAGAAUAAAGGAAAAAAUGACAAGAGUUGAUGUUGAAGAGGAUCUGAUAGACUAUGGUGAAGUUUAGAUUCUAUUCACCUUUCUAAGGCAAGAUUUGUUAUAGUAGCAAGUUGAGAGGCAUAGGUGUCCAGAGAUGGAGUAUGGAUUUCUGGCCCAUUUCCUUAAGUUUCUUAGUUAGGAGUGAGGUGGCCUUCACAAGGAGAGCGCGGACUGGUCCUCCGACAACGGAGCUGCCAAGAUGCCAUUUCCCAUGCAGGCAGCAGCAGCAUCCUCUCUCUGUGGUCCCCGGCUGCUCCAGCUGUUCUCUUCGGGCCCUCUGUAAUUAUGUAGGCAGUUUCUUCUCCCGCCGCAGCAACGUAUCGCAUGACGUUUUCAGUCCAGGUGGCCUGGUCCCGACGGUCUCGUCUACAUCCUCUUGGCUGACCCCUAGGCCAUUGCUUAUGCUGUUUCCCUGCAAAGAAAUACUGGCCUCACCCACAUCUCCAAAACCCAGCUCUAGUCCUGAGACAACCAGGAGAUCUGACUUAUAGGCCUGGCUCAUCAUUUCACAUUUACUAGCUCAGAAGCCUGAAUAAAUGCCCCCUCCUACUGCCGUCUCCCCAGAUACCUAAUCUCCCUCCAGAGAUUAGAUAUCCUGGAUAGAUAGACUUUGCAGAUUGGUCUAAAUGAAAGAUCUUGGCAUGGGGAGAGUAUAGUCCACUGUCUGGGCCCAUCCUAAAUGCCAUCACAGGGAUUUUUAUAAAAGAACAGUAGAGGGGGAAAAAACACAGACUAAAAGGGGGAAGGCAGUGUAACUGUGGAAACAAAGAUGGGAAUGAUGCAGCCACAAGCCCAGGGAUGCCAGCUGCCACCGGAAGCUGGAAGAGGCAAGAAAUGGAUCCUCCCCUAGAA
ensembl:lncRNA